GUGAGUGAGUGAGUGAGUAUGGUUGAGUGGGGUAGGCAGACAGUGGUGGAGAGAGAGCCAGAGCUCCAGUGAGUGAGUGAGUGUGUGAGUGUGGUCGAGUGAGGUGGGCAGACAGUGGUGGAGAGAGAGAGCCAGAGCUCCAGUGAGUGAGUGAGUAUGGUCGAGUGAGGUAGGCAGACAGCAGUGGAGAGAGAGAGAGAGCCAGAGCUCCAGUGAGUGAGUGAGUGUGGUCGACUGAGGUAGGCAGACAGUGGUGGAGAGAGAGAGAAAGUUCCAAUGAAUGAGUGAGUGAGUGUGGUCGAGUGAGGUAGACAGACAGCAGUGGAGAGAAAGAGCCAGAGCUCCAGUGAGUGAGUGAGUGUGGUGGAGAGAGAGAGCCAGAGCUCCAGUGAGUGAGUGAGUAUGGUCGAGUGAGGUAGGCAGACAGCAGUGGAGAGAAA